rnacentral:rRNA from 1 species
UGGGGAAUAUUGCACAAUGGGCGCAAGCCUGAUGCAGCCAUGCCACGUGUAUGAAGAAGGCCUUCGGGUUGUAAAGUACUUUCAGCGGGGAGGAAGGUGUUGUGGUUAAUAACCUCAGCAAUUGACGUUACCCGCAGAAGAAGCACCGGCUAACUCCGUGCCAGCAGCCGCGGUAAUACGGAGGGUGCAAGCGUUAAUCGGAAUUACUGGGCGUAAAGCGCACGCAGGCGGUCUGUCAAGUCGGAUGUGAAAUCCCCGGGCUCAACCUGGGAACUGCAUCCGAAACUGGCAGGCUUGAGUCUUGUAGAGGGGGGUAGAAUUCCAGGUGUAGCGGUGAAAUGCGUAGAGAUCUGGAGGAAUACCGGUGGCGAAGGCGGCCCCCUGGACAAAGACUGACGCUCAGGUGCGAAAGCGUGGGGAGCAAACA